rnacentral:rRNA from 1 species
UGUGCCCAGAUGGGAUUAGCUAGUAGGUGGGGUAACGGCNCACCUAGGCGACGAUCCCUAGCUGGUCUGAGAGGAUGACCAGCCACACUGGAACUGAGACACGGUCCAGACUCCUACGGGAGGCAGCAUG